GAUGAACGCUGGCGGCGUGCCUAAUACAUGCAAGUCGAGCGAACGGACGAGAAGCUUGCUCUUCUGAUGUUAGCGGCGGACGGGUGAGUAACACGUGGAUAACCUACCUAUAAGACUGGGAUAACUUCGGGAAACCGGAGCUAAUACCGGAUAAUAUUUUGAACCGCAUGGUUCAAAAGUGAAAGACGGUUUUGCUGUCACUUAUCGAUGGAUCCGCGCUGCAUUAGCUAGUUGGUAAGGUAACGGUUUACCAAGGCAACGAUGCAUAGCCAACCUGAGAGGGUGAUCGGCCACACUGGAACUGAGACACGGUCCAGACUCCUACGGGAGGCAGCAGUAGGGAAUCUUCCGCAAUGGGCGAAAGCCUGACGGAGCAACGCCGCGUGAGUGAUGAAGGUCUUCGGAUCGUAAAACUCUGUUAUUAGGGAAGAACAAAUGUGUAAGUAACUAUGCACGUCUUGACGGUACCUAAUCAGAAAGCCACGGCUAACUACGUG
rnacentral:rRNA from 1 species